rnacentral:misc_RNA from 1 species
AACGCAUCUUGCGCUCAUUGGUAUUCCAAUGAGCACGCCUGUUUCAGUAUCAGAAACACCCCACAUUCAAAAAAAUUUUUUUUUUAAAUGGAAUUGAGAGUUUACUGUUAUUUCAACUGUUCUCUUUAAAAAUAUUAGGCCUGAAAUUUUAGUUUUUUUGUUGCCUGAACUUUUUUUUUAAUAUAAAGGAAAAGCUCUGGGUCAAUUUUUAAUAAAAGCUUAUUAUCUUGGGGCCUCCCAAAUAAAUCAUUCUUAAAUUUGAUCUGAAAUCAGGCGGGAUUACCCGCUGAACUUAA